rnacentral:lncRNA from 1 species
UUAUGAUUCACAGAAAACGACAUAGAGGACAAUGUCUAGAUAAUGAGGUCAUUAUACAUAAGGAAAAGGACCAUCUUGUCUAUUGUCUUUCUUUAAAAUUCUGGAGUCAUCUUACAAAAAAAUUAUUUCAUACAUUUAAUUAGCACGCUUGUAGUCAGUAAAAGAUGGGAAUAUUCAAAAUAUCAUACAUAUUAAUUUUUACUCCACAUAGCAAGAUGAUGUUCAUUGAUUCUACAAAUGAAUAGAGCUUAAAGCUAAUGAUUUGAAAGCCAAUAGAUAUUAACAAUCCGCAGUUGUAUUGCUGUUUUCAUCUGUCAAUUUUAAAGACCAGUUAAAAGAUUACAUUGAUCACUUUUGUUUUAUAACUUUUAAAUGUCUUAAAAGAUUGUGAGCUAAUUAUGACACUACUAAUGAAUUGGUAAAUGAGACUUAAGUAUACAGAUUUCAUUUUCCCUCUUC